GGCUCGGUAGCGCAUGGAGCGCGUCUGCGCACCAUAGGAGAGAAGCUAGCCACAAUGUUCAGCAGACAACCCCGUUCGACUCGGGGCCGAGCCA